rnacentral:rRNA from 1 species
UACGGAGGGGGCUAGCGUUGUUCGGAAUUACUGGGCGUAAAGCGCACGUAGGCGGCUUUGUAAGUUAGAGGUGAAAGCCCGGGGCUCAACUCCGGAAUUGCCUUUAAGACUACAUCGCUAGAAUUGUGGAGAGGUAAGUGGAAUUCCGAGUGUAGAGGUGAAAUUCGUAGAUAUUCGGAAGAACACCAGUGGCGAAGGCGACUUACUGGGCACAUAUUGACGCUGAGGUGCGAAAGCGUGGGGAGCAAACAGG